GUAAGACUGACUUUUUCUUCUAAAACUUGAGAGGCAUUUUUGGCAUUUUUCACACUUUGCACCAUACACAUAAUACACGCGGCGAUGCGGCUCUCUGGACUUCGCGCGCUACCUCAGCAAUUACACCAAGAGAGGGGAGCAGAACAGAGUGGAAUUUGAUUGGUCGGCGAAGAAAUAUUUGAGCUGUUCUAACCCAAUAGAAGAGAAAUGUAAUUUAAAGAAGAAAAUGUGCAUGCUUGUAUGCCACUUGAAUAUUCUAUGGAAGAUUUCCAAGUCAAAGAUACUAGGCUUUUAAUUGGAUUAUGCACAGCAGUGGCCCUCAUUUUUGUGGAACUAAUUGGAUUUCUUUCUGG